UACGAAGGGGGCUAGCGUUGUUCGGAAUUACUGGGCGUAAAGCGCGCGCAGGCGGUCUUCCAAGUCAGUGGUGAAAGCCCGGAGCUCAACUCCGGAAUUGCCUUUGAAACGGGAUCGCUUGAGUCCGAGAGAGGAUGGCGGAAUUCCUAGUGUAGAGGUGAAAUUCGUAGAUAUUAGGAAGAACACCGGUGGCGAAGGCGGCCAUCUGGCUCGGUACUGACGCUCAGGCGCGAAAGCGUGGGGAGCAAACAGG
rnacentral:rRNA from 1 species